rnacentral:lncRNA from 1 species
CGCUCAGGUUAAAUGUGCUUUGUCUGUUUAAGUAUUGUUAUAAGAAAGGUCACUAAAAAUUAAUAACUGCUUGCCAUUAAAAACCACUGCUCAUAAUCUUUAUUAUUGUGUGCCAUAUGAAUGUUUGAAAGAACAUCAUAUUGGUGCAUUUACUACAUGUAUUGCUAAAUCAGCUCAAUUUUUUUUUUUUGGCGAUCUCAAUUAUCAUAUUUUCAAAUUUCAAUGUAUUAUCAUACAUAUUUCACAUCAUGUUGCAAAAAAAAUAUUUAAAUAAUUAUUAUGAGUGUUAUCUAUCUGUUUGAUAUUUAUUAUGUCAAGAAUUAAGUUUAUCUAUUUGCAUUAUAAGAUUUUAAUGUCUAUAGUUAUCAAAGGUACCAGGAUUAUAAUUUAGUACGCCAGACGUGCGUUUCGUCUAUAUAAGACUCAUCAGUGACGCUCAAAUCAAAAUAUUUAUAAGCCAAACAAGUACAAAGUUGAAGAGCAUUGAGGAGCCAAAAUUCCAAAAAGUUGUGCCAAAUACGGCUAAGGUAAUCUAUACCUGGGAUAAGAAAAUCUAUGAUUGUUUCACUUUUUGCCAUAGGAAAAACUAUAUUAAAAAAAUCAUGUGCCAUUUAUUUAACCAAACCAGUCUGCUUGUUUGUGUUAAAAAGAAGACAAUUGUUAUGUAUCACAAUGAGGAUUUUUUACUAGUGCUUUUAUCUGUUUCAUUAAUGAAAUGUUUUCCCUUAAGGAGUAGCAAUAAAACUAUGUUAU